rnacentral:lncRNA from 1 species
AAAACGAUCCAAGUAGAUUUUGAAAAUAAAUAAAUAAAAUAUCGUGUGAAUUAUCCAAUCAACAAAUUUGAAUAUUCCAUAAAAGACAGGUCAUCAAAAGGGCCAUAGAAACAUAAUCUAAACAAUAGAAAAUGAACGAAUUAUGCACUCAUGGCAUUGGCCAUGACGUGACAGUCAAGAGCCACCUAAGCAUGAAAAAAAAUAAAAAAUGAGUCGUUCGUAAUUCAUGGCAUUCACCAUGAAGAACAUGGCCUCCACCAUGGACCUUAAAGACCACGUUCUACCGGUUUGCAUUCAUGGCGUCCGCCAUGAUCUUUGAGGCAAGAAAAUAACAACAACUUGG